CAUUGUGAGGUGGAAUCGGAAGGAAGCCUGAGGCAAAACUCCGGUCUGACGAACAGAAAUCGUAUGAGGCAGGACUGAAUGGAUGAGGCCGCCUGGCAAGCCAAAGUCCGAAAACUGCACGGGAUUCAGUGCUGUAGAUACGGCAGAUGGAUGGAGUGAAAGAUUG
rnacentral:ncRNA from 1 species